AACUAGAACUUCCUCAGGGACCGCACAAUAAAAAGUAACAUACAAUAUCACAAAUUGUAAAAUAAUGCAUCCAAAAUGCAUUCUUUUACAAUUUGUGAUAUUGUAUGUUACUUUUUAUUGUGCGGUCCCUGAGGAAGUUCUAGU